UACGUAGGGUGCAAGCGUUAAUCGGAAUUACUGGGCGUAAAGCGCGCGUAGGCGGCUCGGAAAGUCGGUCGUGAAAUGCCGGGGCUCAACCCCGGGACUGCGUCCGAUACUUCCGAGCUGGAGGCAGGUAGGGGAGAUCGGAAUUCCUGGUGUAGCGGUGAAAUGCGCAGAUAUCAGGAGGAACACCGGUGGCGAAGGCGGAUCUCUGGGCCUUGCCUGACGCUGAGGCGCGAAAGCUAGGGGAGCGAACAGG
rnacentral:rRNA from 1 species